rnacentral:rRNA from 1 species
GUUGACCUCGGAUCAGGUAGGAAUACCCGCUGAACUUAAGCAUAUCAAUAAGCGGAGGAAAAGAAACCAACAGGGAUUGCCUCAGUAACGGCGAGUGAAGCGGCAACAGCUCAAAUUUGAAAUCUGGCUCCUUCGGGGCCCGAGUUGUAAUUU